CCGUGCUAGACGGGGAUGUAGCGGAGCCCUGUAACCCGCAAUCCGCUAUAGCGGGGUUGAACGCCUUCAUGCGGUAUUGCGAUGUGAGGUUUGGGUUCUGGAAUGGAUGUUGAGAGUUGGGUCCGUCGCAAUGGAUGCUUGUGAAUCCGGUCAGGUUCGGAAGGAAGCAGCCGUAAGCGAGAUGUUCCAUGUGCCGAUGGGUUGCCUGACUUGAGUCGAGACCAGAAAUUCCACUUGGAUCGUAAUAUCAAAGUAGGUGCACGG
rnacentral:SRP_RNA from 1 species